rnacentral:siRNA from 1 species
UUCGUCUUCGUGCUUAUAGUG